rnacentral:rRNA from 1 species
GCGUAAAGCGAGCGCAGGCGGUUUCUUAAGUCUGAUGUGAAAGCCCCCGCGCUCAACCGGGGAGGGUCAUUGGAAACUGGGAGACUUGAGUGCGAGAAGAGGAGAGUGGAAUUCCAUGUGUAGCGGUGAAAUGCGUAGAUAUAUGGGAGGAACACCAGUGGCGAAGGCGGCUCUCUGGUCUGUAACUGACGCUGAGGCUCGAAAGACGUGGGGAGCAAACAGGAUUAGAUACCCUGGUAGUCCACGCCGUAAACGAUGAGUGCUAAGUGUUAGGAGGGUUUCCGCCCUUUCAGUGCUGCAGCUAACG